rnacentral:ncRNA from 2 species
UACGUGCUCCGGGGUCGGUGUAAGUCCGAACCGGCGGUGACAGUCCGCGACCCGCGAGCCGGCACAGAUCCUCUCCAGGAACUGUUCCGGCGGACGGUUGAACCGGUGAAAUUCCGGUACCGACAGUUAAAGUCUGGAUGAGAGAAGCACGUA